GCUGGGCAUGGUGGCGGGUGCCUGUAAUCCCAGCUACUCGGGAGGCUGAGGCAGGAGAAUUGCUUGAAUCCGGGAGGCGGAGGUUGCAGUGAGCUGAGGUCGCGCCACUACACUCCAGCCUGGGUGACAAAGUGAGACUCUGUCUCAA
rfam:Homo sapiens chromosome 16, GRCh38 reference primary assembly.